CCUACGGGAGGCUGCAGUGAGGAAUAUUGGUCAAUGGUCGGGAGACUGAACCAGCCAAGCCGCGUGAGGGAUGAAGGUACAGAGUAUCGUAAACCUCUUUUGUCAGGGAACAAAGGCGGGGACGUGUCCCCGGAUGAGUGUACCUGAAGAAAAAGCAUCGGCUAACUCCGUGCCAGCAGCCGCGGUAAUACGGAGGAUGCGAGUGUUAUCCGGAUUUCUGGGGUUUAAAGGGUGCGCAGGCGGUCUGUCAAGUCAGCGGUCAAACCCCGGGGCUCACCCCCGGCCCGCCGUUGAAACUGGCAGUCUCUAGUUGGAGAGAAGUAUGCGGAAUGCGCGGUGUAGCGGUGAAAUGCAUAGAUAUCGCGCAGAACUCCGAUUGCGAAGGCAGCAUGCCGGCUCCACACUGACGCUGAGGCACGAAAGCGUGGGUAUCGAACAGGAUUAGAUACCCCUGUAGUC
rnacentral:rRNA from 1 species